rnacentral:rRNA from 2 species
UGGUGCUUGCAUCAUGAUUUACAUUUGAGUGAGUGGCGAACUGGUGAGUAACACGUGGGAAACCUGCCCAGAAGCGGGGGAUAACACCUGGAAACAGAUGCUAAUACCGCAUAACAACUUGGACCGCAUGGUCCGAGUUUGAAAGAUGGCUUCGGCUAUCACUUCUGGAUGGUCCCGCGGCGUAUUAGCUAGAUGGUGAGGUAACGGCUCACCAUGGCAAUGAUACGUAGCCGACCUGAGAGGGUAAUCGGCCACAUUGGGACUGAGACACGGCCCAAACUCCUACGGGAGGCAGCAGUAGGGAAUCUUCCACAAUGGACGAAAGUCUGAUGGAGCAACGCCGCGUGAGUGAAGAAGGGUUUCGGCUCGUAAAACUCUGUUGUUAAAGAAGAACAUAUCUGAGAGUAACUGUUCAGGUAUUGACGGUAUUUAACCAGAAAGCCACGGCUAACUACGUGCCAGCAGCCGCGGUAAUACGUAGGUGGCAAGCGUUGUCCGGAUUUAUUGGGCGUAAAGCGAGCGCAGGCGGUUUUUUAAGUCUGAUGUGAAAGCCUUCGGCUCAACCGAAGAAGUGCAUCGGAAACUGGGAAACUUGAGUGCAGAAGAGGACAGUGGAACUCCAUGUGUAGCGGUGAAAUGCGUAGAUAUAUGGAAGAACACCAGUGGCGAAGGCGGCUGUCUGGUCUGUAACUGACGCUGAGGCUCGAAAGUAUGGGUAGCAAACAGGAUUAGAUACCCUGGUAGUCCAUACCGUAAACGAUGAAUGCUAAGUGUUGGAGGGUUUCCGCCCUUCAGUGCUGCAGCUAACGCAUUAAGCAUUCCGCCUGGGGAGUACGGCCGCAAGGCUGAAACUCAAAGGAAUUGACGGGGGCCCGCACAAGCGGUGGAGCAUGUGGUUUAAUUCGAAGCUACGCGAAGAACCUUACCAGGUCUUGACAUACUAUGCAAAUCUAAGAGAUUAGACGUUCCCUUCGGGGACAUGGAUACAGGUGGUGCAUGGUUGUCGUCAGCUCGUGUCGUGAGAUGUUGGGUUAAGUCCCGCAACGAGCGCAACCCUUNUUAUCAGUUGCCAGCAUUAAGUUGGGCACUCUGG